GAUCCUGGCUCAGGAUGAACGCUGGCGGCGUGCUUAACACAUGCAAGUCGAGCGAAGCACUUGAGUCUGAUUCUUCGGAUGAAGACUUUUGUGACUGAGCGGCGGACGGGUGAGUAACGCGUGGGUAACCUGCCUUAUACAGGGGGAUAACAGUCAGAAAUGACUGCUAAUACCGCAUAAGCGCACAGGACCGCAUGGUCUGGUGUGAAAAACUCCGGUGGUAUAAGAUGG
rnacentral:rRNA from 1 species